rnacentral:rRNA from 1 species
UACGUAGGGACCGAGCGUUGUCCGGAAUCAUUGGGCGUAAAGAGCGUGUAGGCGGCCAACUAAGUCCUGCGUGAAAUCUCGGGGCUCAACCCCGAGCGGUCGUGGGAAACUGGUUGGCUAGAGUGCGGGAGAGGAGAGUGGAAUUCCCGGUGUAGCGGUGAAAUGCGCAGAUAUCGGGAAGAACACCCGUGGCGAAGGCGGCUCUCUGGGACGGUACUGACGCUCAUGCACGAAAGCGUGGGGAGCAAACAGG